UAUGGUCGACCUGCAGGCGGCCGCGAAUUCACUAGUGAUUCGUAUUACCGCGGCUGCUGGCACAGAGUUAGCCGGUGCUUAUUCUGUCGGUAACGUCAAGACAGCAACGUAUUAGGUUACUGCCCUUCCUCCCAACUUAAAGUGCUUUACAAUCCGAAGACCUUCUUCACACACGCGGCAUGGCUGGAUCAGGCUUUCGCCCAUUGUCCAAUAUUCCCCACUGCCGCCUCCCGUAGGAGUCUGGACCGUGUCUCAGUUCCAGUGUGACUGGUCAUCCUCUCAGACCAGUUACGGAUCGUCGCCUUGGUGAGCCAUUACCUCACCAACUAGCUAAUCCGACCUAGGCUCAUCUGAUAGCGCAAGGCCCGAAGGUCCCCUGCUUUCUCCCGUAGGACGUAUGCGGUAUUAGCGUCCGUUUCCGAGCGUUAUCCCCCACUACCAGGCAGAUUCCUAGGCAUUACUCACCCGUCCGCCGCUCUCAAGAGAAGCAAGCUUCUCUCUACCGCUCGACUUGCAUGUGUUAGGCCUGCCGCCAGCGUUCAAUCUGAGCCAUGAUCAAACUCUAAUCGAAUUCCCGCGGCCGC
rnacentral:rRNA from 1 species